CCCCCUCCGUGAUGCGCCGGCCGCCAUUUUGUAGCUGAGGAGGAGCAGCACCAUCAUUAUCAUUAUCGGUGGCGGCAGCAGCAGCGGCGGCGCUCGGUCCUUAGUGGCAGGAGCGGGGGUGGGGGAAAAGGGAAAACAAACAAACAAAUAAAUAAAUAACGAGAGAGUAGUCGUCCCGGUCGCCCCUCCCCCCUCUCUCUUACCCACCCUCCCCCUUCCUUCCUCCAACCUGCCCUCCCGACAAAACCCGCCGGAGAGAGAGGAACCAAUGGACUCUCAGUACAAUUACAACCCGCCAUCCGCCGGCCUCAUGGAGCAGAGCGCGGCGGCGGCGGCGCCCACCGAGGAGUUCCCUGAAGGAGCUAAAAUAAACGCCAGCAAGAACGAGGAUGACGAAGGAAAAAUGUUCAUUGGGGGUCUUAGCUGGGAUACAAGCAAGAAGGAUUUGACAGAUUACUUGUCCAGGUUCGGUGAAGUAGUGGACUGUACCAUAAAGAUGGAUGCGGUGACGGGACGUUCAAGAGGAUUUGGUUUUGUACUAUUCAGAGAACCUGCAAGCGUGGACAGGGUCUUGGAACUGAAGGAACACAAGCUGGAUGGACGGCUCAUUGACCCUAAAAGAGCAAAGGCAAUAAAGGGCAAAGAACCAGCAAAGAAAGUUUUUGUUGGUGGCUUAAGUCCUGAUGUACCAGAAGAAAUGGUUAAGGACUACUUUGGAGCAUAUGGAGAGAUUGAAGGCAUUGAACUUCCCAUUGACAACAAGACAAAUGAACGGAGAGGUUUCUGCUUCAUCACGUUUAAGGAGGAAGAACCAGUAAAAAGACUAUUAGAAAACAAGUAUCACAACAUAGGAUCUAGCAAGUGCGAAAUUAAAGUGGCACAACCUAAAGAAGUCUACAGGCAACAGCAGCAACGAGGAGGCAGAGGUGGAGGUGGGUUUGGUGGAAGAGGUCGUGGUAGAGGGGGACAAAGUCAGAACUGGAACCAGGGAUACAACAGCUACUGGAAUCAAGGUUAUAGUAGUUACAACAAUGGCUAUAGCAAUCCAGGUUACAAUGGAUAUGGAGGUUAUGAUUACUCUGGGUAUAACUACAACAACUACGGAUAUGCUCCAGAAUAUGAUACCUACAAUACAAAUGUGCCUCCUGAUGGUCAAUCAAGGAGCGGCAUUGAUGGUCGUGGAGAAGUCUGCGGCCUGGACUGCCUCACCCUCUCUGCUGAAGGAGGCUGUUUAGAGGCAAGUGGCCAGGUCAGCAGAGCAGCUAUGGAAAGGCAUCUAGAGGUGCAGGCAGUCACCAGAAUAACUACCAACCAUACUAAAGAAAAAUUGAUAUAGUUGUUUCACUGCAGCGGGAACUUCAUUGCAGGACACGUGUCACCCUGACCACACGAUUCUCUUGGGGCCGCGCAUUGCGGACAGAACGUGAGGUGUGCUCGUGAAAAUGCUGCCCUGUGGUGGAGAAACGGAGGUAUAAACAUCAGUGUAGCAGAACAGCAUGUCAAGAGGAAAUGUUAAAUCUGAAAGCAUCUUUGUUUCCCUUUUGGGACUUUUUUGUACCACAUCAAAUCUGAAACCAACAUCUUUUGUGUCCCAAAUGUAUAUAGCAUAUAAACAUCUUUUUAUGUUGUAGUUACUUUGCUUUGUACAACUUGAAGCGCAUUCUUUGUGUACUGUGAUAGUCUAUAAUAAAGUUGCUACUAACUGGUGAUGCAACACUUGUUUGUUGGCGUACCCUGUUGUAUGUGAUGCAUUGCAUCUGUUGCUGAAAUAAAACAGUAUGAAUACUCA